rnacentral:snRNA from 1 species
UCCACUUUAGUAGAAUGAACUAAAAUUGGCAUGAUACAGAGAAGAUUAGCAUGAAGUCUGCAUAAUGAUGACUAUACAUUUUGAAACAUUUCAUUUUAAA